AGAACGAACGCUGGCGGCAGGCCUCAAACAUGCAAGUCUAGGGGGUGUAGCAAUACAUCACCGGCGGACGGGUGCGUAACACGUGGGAAUAUACCUUUUGGUUCGGAACAACGCAGGGAAACUUGCGCUAAUACCGAAUGUGCCCUUACGGGGAAAGAUUUAUCGCCAAAGGAUUAGCCCGCGUAGGAUUAGCUAGUUGGUGAGGUAAUGGCUCACCAAGGCUCCGAUCCUUAGCUGUUCUGAGAGGAAGAUCAGCCACACUGGGACUGAGACACGGCCCAGACUCCUACGGGAGGCAGCAGUUGGGAAUCUUGGACAAUGGGGGAAACCCUGAUCCAGCCAUGCCGCGUGAGUGAUGAAGGCCUUGGGUUGUAAAACUCUUUACGACGGGACGAUAAUGACGGUACCCGUAGAAGAAGCUCCGGCUAACUUCGUGCCAGCAGCCGC
rnacentral:rRNA from 1 species